rnacentral:rRNA from 1 species
UGGCCUAACACAUGCAAGUCGAGCGAUGAAGCACCUUCGGGUGUGGAUUAGCGGCGAACGGGUGAGGAACACGUGAGGAAUCUGCCUUCCACUCUGGGAUAACUCCGGGAAACCGGGGCUAAUACCGGAUACUUUCAACUGGCGGCAUCGCCGGUUGAAGAAAGUUUUUCGGUGGAAGAUGACCUCGCGGCCUAUCAGCUUGUUGGUGAGGUAAUGGCUCACCAAGGCGACGACGGGUAGCCGGCCUGAGAGGGCGACCGGCCACACUGGGACUGAGACACGGCCCAGACUCCUACGGGAGGCAGCAGUGGGGAAUAUUGGGCAAUGGAGGAAACUCCGACCCAGCGACGCCGCGUGAGGGAUGAAGGCCUUCGGGUUGUAAACCUCUUCAGCAGGGAAUAAGCGAAAGGAA